GCAGCAGCCACGGGAAUACGUAGGUGGCAAGCGUUGUCCGGAUUUAUUGGGCGUAAAGCGAGCGCAGGCGGUCAAUUAAGUCUGAUGUGAAAGCCCCCGGCUCAACCGGGGAGGGUCAUUGGAAACUGGUUGACUUGAGUGCAGAAGAGGAGAGUGGAAUUCCAUGUGUAGCGGUGAAAUGCGUAGAUAUAUGGAGGAACACCAGUGGCGAAGGCGGCUCUCUGGUCUGUAACUGACGCUGAGGCUCGAAAGCGUGGGGAGCAAACAGGAUUAGAUACCCCCGUAGUCCCUGUCUCUUAACA
rnacentral:rRNA from 1 species